UGAAAAGGAAAAAAUGCCCUUAAAUUUUGCAAUUCUAGUCAACAGUUUUGUUUUUCUGUGUUUCUUUUCAGGCCUGCAUAUACAGUUUUUACUUUGCAUAUACAGUCUUUACUUUGUUAUAAUCAGAGUGGCUACCGGGAAUUGAACCGUGACCUCCAGGUUCAUGGGUCGACACUCAACCACUGAGCCACGCUUGCUGUGCAGGGUCUUGAUUUUUUAAAGACAAAAAUAAUUGUGUUCUUAGGUACUUUGAAUGUUAACCUUUGACAUUGGUUUUAUAUAUUUUAAUUCUGUUCUAGUUAUACAUUGACCAAUAAUUAACCUUCUUUGAGAGUUACCACCAGAUUUUAAUCAUAAAUAUUAAUCUGUUUUAUUCAGCUAUCUAUGUAACCUUGGCAAGUCACUUUACCUCUCCGGGCCUCACUUUCCUCAUCUAUCAGUGUUGCUUCAUUGUCUUCUGACAUUGGAUGUUGCUGUGGAGAAGUCUGAAGCCAGGCUGAUUUUCUUACCACUUUGUAGCAUUUUUUACAAUAGCCAAAAUAUGGAA